ACAAGAGACAGACUGAGGGAAAAUAUUUCCAACACAUGGAACAGAGGACUAACAGCCCUAGUGUACGACAAGCAGGGUCUUUUGGGGAGGCAAUUAUGUAGUGUCCGUUAAAACUGUAAAUGCCCAUAGGUUUUGACCUGGCAGGUCCACUUAGAGGUAGUUAUUCUAGGGUGACAUGGACACAUGUUCCGAGCAGGUAGCAAAAACAAAGAGAAAGGAGAAGAAGAAGAAGGGAAAAGGUAAAAGUUCAUCAGUUGGGGAUUUGUUAUGCAAAUUAUAGGGCGUGUACCCUAUCAAAUACCGCGUGGCCAGAGAAGAAAUGAGCUAGAGGUUUCUGUACUGACGUGGAAGAAUUUCGAAGCUCUAUUAUUGCUAGUUAAAAGAAGAUCACAGCCGAAUGUGCAGGGUUUGUGUUUUUUAAAACUGUGUGAGUAUGUUGGUGAUUGCAUACAAGAACAUAGUUAGAAGUGAGAAACAGAACUGUUAACAGUCUUGCUUAAGAUAAUGUUUUGUGAAAAUGUUCAAUUAUGUGCUUUAAAAAUAUGCGGGCUGCUAACGUGUAAAAUGGUCCAGCCACCGUGGAAUGCAAAUUGGCAGCUUCUUCCAAGGCUAAACUUCCACUUCCUUAGAACCCAGCAGUUGCAUUGUUGGGCAGGCAUGCCAAAGAAAUGGAAACUUCUGACCACAGGAAAACCUGUACACGCAUGUCCAUAGCAGGUUUAUUUGUAGAAGCCUAAAAGUGGGAAUCGGCAACAUGUCCCUCAGCGGGUGAAGGCCUGAACAAACUGGCUGAUCCACACCAAGGACGACAGCUAGCAAUACAAAGGAAGAACUAACUAUUGAUACCUGCAGCCAUUCCGAUGGAUGGAUCUCAAGAGCAGUGUGUGCGUGAAAAAAAGCCCUGGGUGGCUCGCGGGAUCCUAGCUCCGGCCGGGAGCAGGGAUGGAACCCCCGCCCUUGGCAGUGAGAGCGGGGACUCCUAACCACCGGACCGCCAGGGAAGUCCUUAUGUAAUGUCUUCAAAUGACAAAAUUACAGAGCUGAGAAUAGAAUCCGGUUGCCAUGGGUUGGGAGGAGGAGGAGGGAGGGGGCUGUGGCUAUGAAAGGUCUACAGGAGGGGUCCUUGUCAGGGGACGGGCUGGAUAUUGAUGGCAGUGGUGGUCACCUGAGUUCACACACACACACACACACACACACACACACACACACACACACACGGGGAUAAAACCCGGAGCAGCUCUCCGCUGGCACCAAUGCCCUUUCCUGGUGUGCGGUCCCACUAGCUGUGCAACAGGCUGACUGACGCUGGGGGAACUGCGGGUUGUGCUCCGGCCUCUUGGACGAUUCCGUGUAACUUCCUGUGAACUUAAUUCCUUCAUAAUACAAGUUCAUACCAAAAGCACACAAGCAGGGCUUAGCGUGUACACGUCGAACCACUCGCGCGACUCUCCACGGACAGUGCCCGCUCUCCCGGCGGGGACACCUAGAGGCCCGCAGCCGGCCCGGCCGGCGGCUGAGGAAAAACCGCCGGGGGGCAGAGCCGAGAGGGGCGCGCAGGGGGUCGGCUUGUUUUGAUUGGGCAACGGAGGUGCCCGUCACACCAGGGGGCCGGGUUUCCUGGGGGCGGGUCUCGUCACGAGUCGAGCUUGGUCACUGGCGGAGCCAGCUGGAAGGGGUGGGCAGGAAAGCGGUGUUUGCGGGUUCCGGUGGGCGCGCUGAGGGGCCGUGAGGAGACCGGCGCGGGGGCAGUCAGGGCGGGGCUCGACGCCCCGGGACGACGCCCCGGCCUUGUGGUCACCGCCCACCUUCCCCGUACUCCGCCCCGCGCCCCUCUGGGUCCUGGGCCUGGCCAGAGUCCCCGUUCCCCGAGCGCCCGGGGGCCCACGCCCUCUCCCGGGGAGAGGCUGAGGAGAAGCCUCCACCGAGUCCAGGCCCCUGGAGACCUCGGGGGCUCCGUCGGGCGCCCCUCCCGCCGCUCCCGGCAGGAUUCCCCGCACUGUCCUGAGGGCGUCUGGCGCUCGAGAUGGCCAGGGACAGUGUAUUGGGGGUGCCCAGGGGCCCGGUGAGGGGGGGAAAGGAGGGCGGCGACCCCACCGGGAUGGCAAAGGGCACGGACACUCCGUCUGCGCCCCCACCCCCCCAGUCCUGGCCUCUGAGGGCGGCCUUGGCUCCGCGCUUCUGAGAGCUUCCACCCUCCCGCCACCCCACCCCUUGCCUGGCCCACUGUGUUCCAGCGCCCCUGAGUGUGAUUCGGACGGUUCCCUGUGAAGCACGGAUCCUCCCCCCUCCACACACACGUGGUAUCCAGGGAGAGGUGUGGCGUGCUGGGAAGGAAUCCUGCCCAAGCACGCCUGUUCUCCAGGACAACCUGUGGGUGCCUGCCUGCCUGCCUGCCUGCCUGUCUGCCUCUCACCUGGGAGGUCAAGCCCUCUCCAGCCGCCGCCGCCGCCGCCGCCGCCGCCUUUCCUGCCAAACGUUCCUCACCAAGAGGGUCUCCCAGCUCCCGGGUGAUGCUGCCCAGACCUGCUCAACGCCCAGCGCCACCACCCACCGUUCUGGCCAGUCUUUUCGGUGGCUGGUCUUUGUUCGGCUCCAGGAUGGCCCGCCUUCUAGUUGGAGCCGCAGAGCAAAUGCUGUGCCAGUCACCAGCCACCAUGUGUGCCCGGAACCGGCAGCUCUGGGACCCCAACCCCCCGAGCACGUUCUGGCUGUGGGAUCAGAUGGGGGGGGGUAGCCUUUGGCUUGCAUUUUCCUUGGUCCCCUCCUGCACCCCCUUUUCCUUUGCGUCGUUGGGCUUUCCUUGUUGACCGGUUCAAGCUCUCUAUGCGUUAACGAUAUGAGCCCUGAGUCACGUCUUGCUACUAUUUUUUUGCCCCGCUUUGUCACUUGUGUCUUGACUUUGUGGUUUGGGGUUUGUGUUUGGCCAGGCAUACGAUUCUAGUGUUUGUGUCAUCAGACUUUCCAGGCUUCUCCUAAUGGCUUCUGGGGCUUCUCGUCGGUUUGUUUGCUUCAGACUGACUUGGAGUGGUCUUCUCCGUUUAAAAUCAUCGUGUAUUAGUUACUCGGUGCUGCAUAAGAGACUACCCCAAUCGUAGCACCUUAACACAGCCAACCGUCGUAAUCUCCUGCGUGUGUGAAGCACAGGAUUCUAGAAGGCUUGGCUGGGGGCGUCUGGCUUGGGGUCCAUCACAGGCUGCAGUCGAGUCCUCCGCUGGGGCCACAGCCCCCUGGUCUGCCUAGGGUGUGGGGAUGGGCGGGGGCCGCUCUGCUUCCAAGAUGGCGUGCGUGGAUGUGGCGGGGCCUCGGGCCUCCCCACUGGGCCUGUCCCUAGGGCUGCUCAGGGCAGGGCUUCGCCAGAGCCCACCACCUAGGACAGAGCAGCCCCGAGAUCAAGGCCGCAGUGUUCCUCUAAGAACUUCACCUCGAAGUGACAACCCCUCACCUCUGCUGUAUUUUUAUGGCUCACACAGGUCAACCCAGGAAGAGCGGAGGAGGGGGACGGUACCCGCUAGGGCGUAGCUUGUUCGCGUUCAGGGCGGAUGAGAAGGCUCCAAGGAGUGUCCUCGCUCCUGAAUCUGGGUGCGGGACUCCUGGUCCGCACAGGCCCCUUGGCAAUGCGUUCUUCGUCUGAGCGGGGGGUGGCAGGUUCCAGCCCAGGACCGAGACAGGGAGGGCCUGUGUUUGUAAGGGCAGAGUGGCUUUUCACCUUUAAACAGUUGCAGACAAAACACACUACAAGCCAGAGAAAGAGGGACUUCCCUGGUGGCGCAGUGGUUAAGAACCCGCCUGCCAGUGCAGGGGACACGGGUUCGAGCCCUGGUCCCGGAAGAUCCCACGUGCCGUGGAGCAACGAAGCCCGUGCGCCACAGCUACUGAGCCUGCGCUCUAGAGCCCGCGCGCCACAACUGCUGCGCCCACGAGCCUGAACUACUGAAGCCCGCGCACCUAGAGCCCGUGCUCCGCAAUGAGAAGCCCGCGCACCGCAACUAGAGAAAGCCCGCGCGCAGCGACGAAGACCCACCGCAGCCAAAAAUAGAUAAAAUUUUCAAAACAAAGUUAAAAAAGAAAAAGCCAGAGGAAAGAAAGAACAUGUGGCAGGACCCCAGCGUGGCCCACAAAGCCAGCGGUGCGUGCCCUCUGCCCAGGAGUUUGCAGCCCUGGUGGGAGUGCCGGCUAGUUGCGCUGCCGUGGGUGCGGGGGCCGGAAGCGCUUUCUCGUCACAGCAGCCCAUCCACUGCCAGGGCCAUGCAAGUGCGCCCCCAGGCCUGGGCCCCGGUGCUCUCCCACCUCCAAGGUCCCCACCCCCUCUCCUUCCCAGUGGGGUGGGGGCGGGGGCAGCUACCUUGCCUGAGGCUGGGGUGGCCUCUCUGUGCCCAUAGGUGCAGGCCCUCCUCUCCCCACUCCCCUCCCCGCCCUGCCAGCCUCCCACCGAGCAGCUGGGAAGUGGGUAGGGGCAGGGAGCAGAGAGGGGUGGGCCCCAUUGUGAGGGUGCAGGCUGGCGAGCCCCUUGUCCUCAGUGACCAUGCCAGGUAGCCCCGGGCUGGGCUGUGAUGGCUCAGCAGUGGCAGGCGCCAGCCCGGGGUGGCAGCCGAGUGUCCCUUUGGUCCCAGGAAGGAGCUCCCACUGUGGCCAAGGGAGAGGUGCCCGCCGCAUCCUUCUUGGCUGGGACUCAGAUGUGACUCCCUGAUGACCCGCUUGGUGGCUCUGAAUUGGUCACGCAGGUUCUGUGGGCGGCGAGUACCUUUCCUGUUGGCUCUCGCUGCUGGGCAACGCCGGGGCCCUUGGAGACAGCUCCCCGGCCCCGACCGAGGCCGCCAUGCACUUCUUGAACCCCAGGACCGUGGGUGUCGGGAGAGCUGGGCCCUCUGUCUCCGUCCCAGGAGCAGAGGCCGAGGCCGAGGCCGUGCUUGCUGGGCCCGGCCUCGUGGCUGUGGUGGUGGCUGCCGGGGACACCCUCCGGCCGGGAGGUGGGGCCGCAGGGUCCUAGGGCUCCGGGAGACGCUCGGGCCCGCUGCAGCCCCACACUCCUGGGCCAUCUGACUGUCCCCCUAAGUAGAGCCACCUUCCAGUCCCUCAGGCCUGGGCAGAAGGCAGGACAAGGCGGGCCCGGCUCCCCUGCAGUCUUCCCUCGGAGGCGGCCUGCCCACGGGGGCCCGGGGCACUGCGUGGGCGCCGGCCCUCCCUUGCCCGGGGGAGCUCUUCCUAGCGGCCCGCUCUGCGGAUGGGCAUAAUCAGGGCAGCAGCCAGGCCCUGUCCCCACCCAGCCGCCACCCACCUGCAGGGCACAUCCUUGGCCCUCACCCUCUCCGCCCGCCCGAGGACCUGGUGCCACCCCGCUGAGCGCGGGCGUCUGUACCUGGCCCGUCCUCAGCAGGUGCUCCGACCCAAGGGCAGUCCCCCAGCCCCGCCCAUUGUUUAGCGCUGUCCUCAGUCCUGCUCCCCUGGCUGCGGCCUCGCUGGGCUUGUGGGGACCUUCCAGACACACGCACGCGCACACACACACGCACGCACACUCUCCCAUCACUGGCUUCAUCGGGGUUCCUGGGGGGUGUGGAGGUGGCUGCCCUGGAGAGCCCUGGCCCUGUGCCCUGGAGUUGGGUGAGGCCGCCCGUGCUGGGGGCUUGCACGGGAAUCCCAAGGGUCUCCAGACUACUGUCUCCCUUGUUGAAGUGCUGGGGCUCCCUCACUGUCGGGUGGGCGGCAGUCCCAUCCUGAGGGGCCGGUGCUCCGCUUUCCUCAGCCGGGUCCCUCCCAUCCUCCUGGGGGAGCGGACAGCAGGGAGGGUCGGGUGCAGAGGUGUGGCCAGAGCAGGGGUGGAGGCUGGCCGAGGGGUGUGGGUGGUCAGCUCCACCAUCCCCCUGCCCUGCCCUGCCCGCAGCUGGACCUGCAGGACAGGGGGCUGCUCCCAGCUGGCGCGACCAGCCACCCCCUCCCCAGACCUAGUAGGUGAGAUGGGGCCAGCCUGGGGGAAGGCGUGUGGCUGGGGCCUCGUCUCUGCUCCUGGCACCUGCUGGUGAGCGGGCCUCGGGCGUGGGCGUGGGGCCUGUUGGAGCUGGGCCACCACCCCUGCUGGCUCUGGGUGGGUGGCGUGUGAACCUGGCUGAGGCCCAGGCCUCGCACUUCCCUGUCUCCUAGCAGCCGGGGUGUCCUCUGGGGGAUUUGCUCAGUGGGGCCGGGUCCCAAGCCAUUUGCCCCCCAGCAGGAUGGGGUCUCGGUGGUCCUUUUCCUGGCGCCAUCUGCCUGUUCCUCCCCACCCCCAGAAGCCCCGGCAGGGAUGGCGCCCCAGUCUCGCUCCCUCCUGACCCCUGCCUGGGCGGGCCUCAGGCUCAGGCCUGGUCUGUCCCGUGGCCUCUGUCCUCAGGGCUGUCGUCAGGGUCCUGUUUCCCCCCUCCAGGGUGGCAUCUUUUCCCCCCCCGCUACCGCCUAGCGUGCCUCAUGGCUGCCUGGGUGUGAUGUGGAGUCCGGGGCGGGGACGGAGCCUCCCGGUUAAGCUCAGCCUGGCUCUGGGGCCGUUCUCCCAUGGGGGCCCGUCCAGCAGGCGGGUUCGGAAAGGACGGGAGACAGCACUGUCUCCUCCUGGCGGACUCGUGCAGGGAGCAGGCAGGAGGCUGUGGGUGAGCCGGCGGGAGGGGCGCCUGGUGGGCCGA